CAGCAGCCGCGGUAAUACGAAGGGUGCAAGCGUUACCCGGAUUUACUGGGCGUAAAGGGCGUGUAGGCGGCCUGGGGCGUCCCAUGUGAAAGGCCACGGCUCAACCGUGGAGGAGCGUGGGAUACGCUCAGGCUAGAGGGUGGGAGAGGGUGGUGGAAUUCCCGGAGUAGCGGUGAAAUGCGCAGAUACCGGGAGGAACGCCGAUGGCGAAGGCAGCCACCUGGUCCACUUCUGACGCUGAGGCGCGAAAGCGUGGGGAGCAAACCGGAUUAGAGACCCCUGUAGUCCCUGUCUCUUAUAC
rnacentral:rRNA from 1 species